rnacentral:rRNA from 1 species
GUGGGGAAUCUUCCGCAAUGGACGAAAGUCUGACGGAGCAACGCCGCGUGAGUGAUGAAGGUCUUCGGAUUGUAAAGCUCUGUUAAUCGGGACGAAAGAGCCUAGUGUGAAUAAUGCUAGGAAGUGACGGUACCGGAAUAGAAAGCCACGGCUAACUACGUGCCAGCAGCCGCGGUAAUACGUAGGUGGCAAGCGUUGUCCGGUAUUAUUGGGCGUAAAGCGCGCGCAGGCGGAUCUGCCAGUCUGUCUUAAAAGUUCGGGGCUUAACCCCGUGAUGGGAUGGAAACUACAGAUAUAGAGUAUCGGAGAGGAAAGUGGAAUUCCUAGUGUAGCGGUGAAAUGCGUAGAUAUUAGGAAGAACACCAGUGGCGAAGGCGACUUUCUGGACGAAAACUGACGCUGAGGCGCGAAAGCCAGGGGAGCGAACGGGAUUAGAUACCCUUGUAGUCC